UUGGAGGGCAAGUCUGGUGCCGGCACCCGCGGUAAUUCCAGCUCCAAUAGCGUAUAUUAAAGUUGUUGCAGUUAAAAAGCUCGAAGUUGAAUUUCGGGAUCCGAUUGUCGGUCGUGCCUCGGUACGCACUGGCAUUAUUGGUUCCUACCUUCUGAAGAACCGCGAUGUCAUUAAUUUGGUGUCGUGGGGAAUCAGACUGUUACUUUGAAAAAAUUAGAGUGUUUAAAGCAGGCGCACGCUUGAAUACUUUAGCAUGGAAUAAUGAAAUAGGACGUUUGAUUCUAUUUUGUUGGUUUCUAGGAUCGACGUAAUGAUUAAUAGGGAUAGUUGGGGGCAUUAGUAUUCAAUUGUCAGAGGUGAAAUUCUUGGAUUUAUUGAAGACUAACUACUGCCAAAGCAUUUGCCAAGGAUGUUUUCAUUAAUCAAGAACGAAAGUUAAGGGUUCGAAGACGAUCAGAUACCGUCGUAGUUUUAACCAUAAACUAUGCCGACUAGGGAUCGGAUGAUGUUGAUUUUAUAAUGACUCAUUCGGCGCCAUACGGGAAAC
rnacentral:rRNA from 1 species